CUGGCGGCAGGCCUAACACAUGCAAGUCGAACGGUAGCACAGAGAGCUUGCUCUCGGGUGACGAGUGGCGGACGGGUGAGUAAUGUCUGGGAAACUGCCUGAUGGAGGGGGAUAACUACUGGAAACGGUAGCUAAUACCGCAUAACGUCUUCGGACCAAAGUGGGGGACCUUCGGGCCUCACACCAUCGGAUGUGCCCAGAUGGGAUUANCUAGUAGGUGGGGUAAUGGCUCACCUAGGCGACGAUCCCUAGCUGGUCUGAGAGGAUGACCAGCCACACUGGAACUGAGACACGGUCCAGACUCCUACGGGAGGCAGCAGUGGGGAAUAUUGCACAAUGGGCGCAAGCCUGAUGCAGCCAUGCCGCGUGUAUGAAGAAGGCCUUCGGGUUGUAAAGUACUUUCAGCGGGGAGGAAGGCGAUAAGGUUAAUAACCUUGUCGAUUGACGUUACCCGCAGAAGAAGCACCGGCUAACUCCGUGCCAGCAGCCGCGGUAAUACGGAGGGUGCAAGCGUUAAUCGGAAUUACUGGGCGUAAAGCGCACGCAGGCGGUCUGUCAAGUCAGAUGUGA
rnacentral:rRNA from 1 species